CUGGGCGUUAAGUUGCAGGGUAUAGACCCGAAACCCGGUGAUCUAGCCAUGGGCAGGUUGAAGGUUGGGUAACACUAACUGGAGGACCGAACCGACUAAUGUUGAAAAAUUAGCGGAUGACUUGUGGCUGGGGGUGAAAGGCCAAUCAAACCGGGAGAUAGCUGGUUCUCCCCGAAAGCUAUUUAGGUAGCGCCUCGUGAAUUCAUCUCCGGGGGUAGAGCACUGUUUCGGCAAGGGGGUCAUCCCGACUUACCAACCCGAUGCAAACUGCGAAUACCGGAGAAUGUUAUCACGGGAGACACACGGCGGGUGCUAACGUCCGUCGUGAAGAGGGAAACAACCCAGACCGCCAGCUAAGGUCCCAAAGUCAUGGUUAAGUGGGAAACGAUGUGGGAAGGCCCAGACAGCCAGGAUGUUGGCUUAGAAGCAGCCAUCAUUUAAAGAAAGCGUAAUAGCUCACUGGUCGAGUCGGCCUGCGCGGAAGAUGUAACGGGGCUAAACCAUGCACCGAAGCUGCGGCAGCGACGCUGAUGCGUUGUUGGGUAGGGGAGCGUUCUGUAAGCCUGUGAAGGUGUGCUGUGAGGCAUGCUGGAGGUAUCAGAAGUGCGAAUGCUGACAUAAGUAACGAUAAAGCGGGUGAAAAGCCCGCUCGCCGGAAGACCAAGGGUUCCUGUCCAACGUUAAUCGGGGCAGGGUGAGUCGACCCCUAAGGCGAGGCCGAAAGGCGUAGUCGAUGGGAAACAGGUUAAUAUUCCUGUACUUGGUGUUACUGCGAAGGGGGGACGGAGAAGGCUAUGUUGGCCGGGCGACGGUUGUCCCGGUUUAAGCGUGUAGGCUGGUUUUCCAGGCAAAUCCGGAAAAUCAAGGCUGAGGCGUGAUGACGAGGCACUACGGUGCUGAAGCAACAAAUGCCCUGCUUCCAGGAAAAGCCUCUAAGCAUCAGGUAACAUCAAAUCGUACCCCAAACCGACACAGGUGGUCAGGUAGAGAAUACCAAGGCGCUUGAGAGAACUCGGGUGAAGGAACUAGGCAAAAUGGUGCCGUAACUUCGGGAGAAGGCACGCUGAUAUGUAGGUGAAGCGACUUGCUCGUGGAGCUGAAAUCAGUCGAAGAUACCAGCUGGCUGCAACUGUUUAUUAAAAACACAGCACUGUGCAAACACGAAAGUGGACGUAUACGGUGUGACGCCUGCCCGGUGCCGGAAGGUUAAUUGAUGGGGUCAGCGCAAGCGAAGCUCUUGAUCGAAGCCCCGGUAAACGGCGGCCGUAACUAUAACGGUCCUAAGGUAGCGAAAUUCCUUGUCGGGUAAGUUCCGACCUGCACGAAUGGCGUAAUGAUGGCCAGGCUGUCUCCACCCGAGACUCAGUGAAAUUGAACUCGCUGUGAAGAUGCAGUGUACCCGCGGCAAGACGGAAAGACCCCGUGAACCUUUACUAUAGCUUGACACUGAACAUUGAGCCUUGAUGUGUAGGAUAGGUGGGAGGCUUUGAAGUGUGGACGCCAGUCUGCAUGGAGCCGGCCUUGAAAUACCACCCUUUAAUGUUUGAUGUUCUAACGUUGACCCGUGAUCCGGGUUGCGGACAGUGUCUGGUGGGUAGUUUGACUGGGGCGGUCUCCUCCUAAAGAGUAACGGAGGAGCACGAAGGUUGGCUAAUCCUGGUCGGACAUCAGGAGGUUAGUGCAAUGGCAUAAGCCAGCUUGACUGCGAGCGUGACGGCGCGAGCAGGUGCGAAAGCAGGUCAUAGUGAUCCGGUGGUUCUGAAUGGAAGGGCCAUCGCUCAACGGAUAAAAGGUACUCCGGGGAUAACAGGCUGAUACCGCCCAAGAGUUCAUAUCGACGGCGGUGUUUGGCACCUCGAUGUCGGCUCAUCACAUCCUGGGGCUGAAGUAGGUCCCAAGGGUAUGGCUGUUCGCCAUUUAAAGUGGUACGCGAGCUGGGUUUAGAACGUCGUGAGACAGUUCGGUCCCUAUCUGCCGUGGGCGCUGGAGAACUGAGGGGGGCUGCUCCUAGUACGAGAGGACCGGAGUGGACGCAUCACUGGUGUUCGGGUUGUCAUGCCAAUGGCACUGCCCGGUAGCUAAAUGCGGAAGAGAUAAGUGCUGAAAGCAUCUAAGCACGAAACUUGCCCCGAGAUGAGUUCUCCCUGACUCCUUGAGAGUCCUGAAGGAACGUUGAAGACGACGACGUUGAUAGGCCGGGUGUGUAAGCGCAGCGAUGCGUUGAGCUAACCGGUACUAAUGAACCGUGAG
rnacentral:rRNA from 1 species